rnacentral:sRNA from 1 species
GUCGAGCAGCAGACCGCGGCGACGUCGUCGAUCAGCGUGCGGUCGGUGUGGUGGCCGACCGACGCGAUCACCGGCACGCGCAGCAG